rnacentral:rRNA from 1 species
AAUGAACGUUGGCGGCGUGGAUUAGGCAUGCAAGUCGUACGAGAAUCGUAGCAAUACGAGGAAAGUGGCGGAAGGGAGAGGAUUACGUGGGAAUCUACCCUCAGAACUGGGAUAGCGACGGGAAACUGCCGGUAAUACCAGAUCAUGUCUGUGGACCACAGGUGUGAUUCCGUCUGGGGAUGAGCCCACGUCCUAUUAGCUAGUUGGCAGGGUAAUGGCCUACCAAGGCAAUGAUGGGUAGCGGGUGUGAGAGCAUGACCCGCCUCACUGGGACUGAGAACUGCCCAGACACCUACGGGUGGCUGCAGUCGAGAAUCUUCGGCAAUGAGCGCAAGCUUGACCGAGCGACGCCGCGUGCGGGAUGAAGGCCUUCGGGUUGUAAACCGCUGUCGUAGGGGAGCAAGAGAUGAGGGUACUCCCUCUGAUUUGAGCGAUCCUAGGAGGAAGGACGGGCUAAGUUCGUGCCAGCCGCCGCAGUAAUAC